rnacentral:rRNA from 1 species
GAUGAACGCUGGCGGCGUGCUUAACACAUGCAAGUCGAACGAAGCGCUUGAGAUUGAUUCUUCGGAUGAUUUCUCUUGUGACUUAGUGGCGGACGGGUGAGUAACGCGUGGGUAACCUGCCUCACACAGGGGGAUAACAGUUGGAAACGACCGCUAAUACCGCAUAACCCGCUAGGGCCGCAUGGCCCGGACGGAAAAGAUUUAUCGGUGUGAGAUGGACCCGCGUUGGAUUAGCUAGUUGGCAGGGUAAUGGCCUACCAAGGCGACGAUCCAUAGCCGGCCUGAGAGGGUGAACGGCCACAUUGGGACUGAGACACGGUCCAAACUCCUACGGGAGGCAGCAGUGGGGAAUAUUGCACAAUGGGGGAAACCCUGAUGCAGCGACGCCGCGUGAGUGAAGAAGUAUUUCGGUAUGUAAAGCUCUAUCAGCAGGGAAGAAAAUGACGGUACCUGACUAAGAAGCCCCGGCCAACUACGUGCCAGCCGCCGCUGUAACAC